rnacentral:lncRNA from 1 species
UACAAGGGAUGGUAGUGCUACUACGACUAGUCGAGUUAACAAGAUCACUAGUGUUUGGGCUUAGCAGAGAAGCCGACAAAACAGAGGUACAGUUACUGAUAGAGCAUAUUACAGAAUGGCUCCCAAAACAAAGGCUCCCAAAACAAAGUAGUUUAUUACCGGUGGACCAAGAGACUAGUUUACGAUAUAGCAUUCCUUCACAAUCUUGUUGCAGCUGAGAUUGAGCAACAUUGGGAGGAGUUACCAAAAGACGACAAGAGGAAGUUCUAGAUAGCUGAGAUCCUAAUUUAGAUAAUCCAUCUACCACGCCAUUUGCUUGUCGGAUGUCGUACCACUAGAUUCACUAAGCUCCUCAACAUUGACCUACAAGACAUUAUGAUGUUAGAACAUGGAGAGUCGGGUUGUUGUAGCAAGGUAAUGGCUUCCACAGAAUCCAUUUCAAUUUCUAGAGGACCAAAUUUAUGGUAUUUUACUGAUAACAAACCUUAAUGGAGGGCCUCUAAUUCUACCAUAACAGGACAGUGAGAAUUACAAUAAUUAUAAUAACCAACAUUAGUGUCCCAGAUUACUCUACCAAUGUUGUGGCGGUCAGAAUCAUGUGACAAAGCACCAUGAACGUUCAGUUUCAAACAACCAGUAGGAAGAGAAAACCAUUUGAUAUUAAUGUUGACACUAUUUAGAUGGUUACUGAGGUAAGAGUAUGGGAGAUGUAUUCAAUAGUGUUGCAGUGCACAUGGGUAUAUCUAGGAAAAUUUCGUUUAUUUUAAAAAACAUUAUGAUUUCUAUUUAACCAAAGAUUCUUGAGAGUGAAAAGGACGAUGUCUAGCCAAGCUGGGGAAUCCUCAUGGAAUAGUGGGUUGAGAGAUUUCAAAUUUAUCAACCAGUGAGUAUGAGGCAUAUUGAUGAGAGAAAUAUUGAUACCCAUAUCUAGCCAGAAUUUCUUGUCUAUAUAACAAUGCAUAAAGACAUGAUCAGCCAUCUCCGGUACUAAAUUUCAAAUGACGCAAAGGGGAGAAUGAGUUAAGCUGAUGCAAUGCAGAUAAGUAUGAGUGGGAAUUUUCCCGGUUGAGCAGAACCAAAGAAAAAGUUUAAUCUUAUUCAAAGUAUGAAGUUUUCAGAUCUAAGAGAAUUCAUACGUGGAAGUGGCCGGAGUAAUAAGAGAGUCAUACACUGAUUUCGUAGUGAACAAACCAUUAGAAAUGUAUGCCCAGUAAGGAGUUUCCCUACUACCAAUGGAGUUGUUUGAAUGAAUACUGACUUCUUUGAGUAUAAAGUUAGGAGGGAGGGAGAAGGAGAGUUUACUCUAAUCCCAUCAGUGUCCAUCCCAAAGAUUGGAUAAGCAGAGUUUAUCUUCUUCUUCGUGGAAGGGGCCAUAGAGAAUAUGAUGAAGGGGUGGGGUAUCAGGGAUCCAAUGAUAGUUCCAAAUAUUGAUAGAUUCUCCCGUGGACAGAUCCCAAGAGGUGGCCCUAUUACAAAUGGAUCCUCCCAAAAGGAUAUUUUUCCAGAUAAAGGAGCAUGAAGGAACCGUAUAACUGUUAUUAUACUUAGAGAUGAGGGUACGACCACGAAAAGAGGAG